GACGAACGCUGGCGGCGUGCUUAACACAUGCAAGUCGAACGCUGAAGCCUAGCUUGCUGGGUGGAUGAGUGGCGAACGGGUGAGUAACACGUGAGUAACCUGCCCUCUUCUUUGGGAUAACGCCCGGAAACGGGUGCUAAUACUGGAUAUUCACUGAUCUUCGCAUGGGGGUUGGUGGAAAGGUUUUUUCUGGUGGGGGAUGGGCUCGCGGCCUAUCAGCUUGUUGGUGGGGUGAUGGCCUACCAAGGCUUUGACGGGUAGCCGGCCUGAGAGGGUGACCGGUCACAUUGGGACUGAGAUACGGCCCAGACUCCUACGGGAGGCAGCAGUGGGGAAUAUUGCACAAUGGGCGAAAGCCUGAUGCAGCGACGCCGCGUGAGGGAUGGAGGCCUUCGGGUUGUAAACCUCUUUCGCUCAUGGUCAAGCCGCAACUGUGGGUUGUGGUGAGGGUAGUGGGUAAAGAAGCGCCGGCUAACUACGUGCCAGCAGCCGCGGUAAUACGUAGGGCGCGAGCGUUGUCCGGAAUUAUUGGGCGUAAAGGGCUUGUAGGCGGUUGGUCGCGUCUGCCGUGAAAUCCUCUGGCUUAACUGGGGGCGUGCGGUGGGUACGGGCUGACUUGAGUGCGGUAGGGGAGACUGGAACUCCUGGUGUAGCGGUGGAAUGCGCAGAUAUCAGGAAGAACACCGGUGGCGAAGGCGGGUCUCUGGGCCGUUACUGACGCUGAGGAGCGAAAGCGUGGGGAGCGAACAGG
rnacentral:rRNA from 1 species